rnacentral:rRNA from 1 species
GACGUAGGGCGCAAGCGUUGUCCGGAUUCAUUGGGCGUAAAGAGCUCGUAGGCGGCUUGGCAAGUCGGGUGUGAAAACUUCAGGCUCAACCUGGAGCGGCCACUCGAUACUGCCAUGGCUUGAGUCCGGUAGGGGACCACGGAAUUCCUGGUGUAGCGGUGAAAUGCGCAGAUAUCAGGAGGAACACCGGUGGCGAAGGCGGUGGUCUGGGCCGGAACUGACGCUGAGGAGCGAAAGCGUGGGGAGCGAACAGG